CUGAGAGACAGGGCUGGCACUGGGACUAUGGAGCGGGAGGGAGCUGGGGAGGCUGACGCUGCAAUGCCUGCCUUUCCCAGCCUCCUCCCUGCUGCAAAGCACACCGGGCUGUCACUCCACUGUCAGCUGCUGACAACUUCUCCAUCUCUGAAGAAUCCUGGUACCCAGCUUAUCUGCCUCCAGAUACACCGCCCACUCUAAGCCUCACCAGGACUGCCUGCAUCUAGACGCUGGCUACGUGGGAUCCUGCAGCUACUA
rnacentral:lncRNA from 1 species